rnacentral:siRNA from 1 species
AUACUGUUACAACGACGCCAGAUU